GACAGAGGUUGGUGACUGCUACAAGGUGGCGUUCCAACCUAGAAUGGGGGAACCAGGCUCGUUGGUCCGACAGAUAACUAUCAUUCUGGAAAAAAAACAGCUGGAAUAAGAAGCUGUACGGGAGCGCGCGAGUGAGGCGGCGCAGGCACGGCUUGGCCACCUCAAGGCGUCAAUCAAGGAAGGGCCGGCUGCGACAGGAGGAGGGAGGCCCCUUGCGCCGGCCGGGCGCUAUAUUCGCCGUUCCCUGGUUCCCCGGUUCCCUUUCCCUCGGUUCUAGAAUCUCUUUCCCCCAAGGGGUGGGAACUGCACCCUCAUGGCCGAGGUAAAGGUGAAGGUGCAGCCGCCUGAUGCAGAUCCGGUCGAAAUCGAAAACAGGAUUAUAGAAUUAUGUCACCAGUUCCCUCAUGGAAUCACAGACCAAGUAAUUCAGAAUGAAAUGCCGCACAUAGAAGCCCAGCAGCGGGCAGUGGCCAUCAAUAGAUUGUUGUCCAUGGGUCAGUUGGAUCUCUUAAGAAGCAAUACAGGCCUUCUGUAUAGAAUAAAGGACUCUCAGAAUGCUGGCCCUGUCUCAUUCUUUUUAAGUAAAAUGAAAGGAUCAGAUAAUCAAGAGAAACUAGUAUAUCAAAUCAUAGAGGAUGCGGGAAAUAAAGGAAUAUGGAGCAGAGAUAUCCGAUACAAAAGCAACUUGCCAUUGACAGAAAUUAACAAAAUUCUAAAGAAUCUAGAAAGUAAAAAGCUUAUCAAAGCUGUUAAGUCUGUGGCAGCCUCUAAAAAGAAGGUGUAUAUGCUCUAUAACCUGCAGCCGGACCGGUCUGUGACUGGAGGAGCCUGGUACAGUGACCAGGAUUUUGAAUCUGAAUUUGUAGAAGUGCUUAACCAACAGUGUUUCAAAUUCUUGCAAACCAAGGCAGAAACGGCAAGAGAAAGCAAACAGAAUCCCGUUAUCCAAAGAAAUAGUUCUUUUGCUUCAUCACAUGAAGUGUGGAAGUAUAUCUGUGAGUUGGGGAUCAGUAAGGUAGAGUUGUCCAUGGAGGAUAUUGAGACCAUCUUGAAUACGCUCAUUUAUGAUGGGAAAGUGGAGAUGACCAUCAUUGCUGCAAAAGAAGGCACUGUUGGCAGUGUGGACGGGCACAUGAAACUAUACAGGGCAGUCAACCCAAUCAUCUCUCCCACGGGAUUGGUCCGGGCCCCCUGUGGACUCUGCCCGGUAUUUGAUGACUGCCACGAAGGUGGUGAGAUUUCCCCAUCGAACUGUAUUUACAUGACAGAGUGGCUUGAAUUUUAAUAGAGAGAUACGAACUUUACUGACAUUUUGCCAAUGAAGUUACAUUGGAAGCAAGUAAUUAAUGACGGAACAUCAGAUUCACUUCAAGGCAAACUUCAAGAUACAGACUCAUUGCUAUGGAAAAGUAUUUUUGAAGACUAAAUUUAUAUUGGUAGUCAACAGAAUAUGCAACAGGUAAGGUUAGUAGUAAAAUCUAUCCUUCAAUAAAUCAAAUAUUUCUGGAAGACCACACUCUGAAACGUCCAAGAUUUUUGAUAAUUCACAGAAAAGGAAGCCAACAUCCCAUAUUCACCAAGUACUGUGAUAAUGACUGGAGCUUUAAAAUGCCCAUUUUAAAGUUAUUUAUUAAGGUCUUCAUUGGGAAUUUUUUAUAUAUGGCUUACUAUUGCCAUUUCUGUUUUGUUUUCUCAGUGGUUUCAUUGAGAAGAACUUAAAAGUGGUGAAGGCAGGAAUAGCAGGGGAGGACACAGCAAACUUAGAGCAUGAGUGGGGGAGAGAGGGGAACAUCCCUUUUCCAGACACUAUUGAUUCCUUUUUUAUGUCAGAACUGUUCUUUCAGAGGAUUAUGUCUCUGUACUUACCUCAAACCCAAAUGACGACCAUUGUCAAGGAAAUGUUUUCAGUGCAUAAACAUUAUUCUAAAGGGAAUAUUUUUACUGCUCCUUCUUUGUUAAAGUCUUACAAGUUUCACUCUGUGGCUCAACUGUAUUAUUUGCUGGAAUUUUCCCCUGGGUUCUUAUUUAAUUAAAAUUAAAACUAAAAAUAA